AUUGCAGUAUUAGUCGGCAAUUUUGAUACCUCAAGACUAUUGGCCUUUACAUUAUGGCCUACAGAGCCAAAGCCCACUAAAGGGAUAUCACCAUCUGGCCUUAUACUGGUGGAACCCCGUCCACCUAAAUUUGGGCCCUGACUUCCAACUAAUUUGUCUCCAGCAACAACACCAACGGAACCCAAGCCCAAACUCGUAAGCAACCUUCAUUGACAAACCAACUACCUUAGCGAAAACAUCAUGAGUUCCAACCUGUUCUCUAAACCAACCUUGCUCCCUCGGACCAAAUUACCAACACCUCCUUCUUCCUUAUUCGACCCUUUAGUCCCACCCCUCUCUUUUUAACUGCCUCCAUUUCGGAGCUUUUUAGGAAAUUCCCCUUUUUAAAGGUAAACCUUAAAAAUUUAGCCCUUAAAUAUUCACUUUUCUCUAUUCCAUCGACCCUCGAAGAUAACGCCCUAAAUCUAGACCCGCCCCCAUCGUUAGCCUAAAAUUUAGACACCGGUUUACGAGCUUCCUUUAAAUUCCGUCGAGGAUGUCUUUCAACGACCAUCUACGGACCAAACUUAUUCGAUUCAACCACCGGGACUCAUUGACUCCGAUUAAAUCUUUCACUCUGGUCUGGAACGAGCAAAGCUACUUAACAUGACCAUACUGCCCGCAAGAGAAACAAAUAGACUGUAAGGAUUCAUAUUCAAUUGACAUUUCAACGCUAUCCAUUCAUUUAUCCUUAAAUCAAACUUUUUUAGUACUACGGCAAUUUGCCGAACAACCACCGCCAUUCUCAAUGUUACCAUUGUUCACCAUUUCCUUUAUCAAUAAGAAAGAAGAUAUUAAUUUAAUUUAAUUACCAACUAUACCCAUUUUGAGUAUUAGGUUUGGGGCAGUUUUUAUAAUAAUCCUAAAACGAAUUAUUCAUUGUGGUUUCAAAUUAGUUUCUUCUCUUGGGUUUAUUUAAAAUCCCAAAACCCAGCAAAAGCCAUAAACCUAACCCUAACUAAAAGAAACACUGGUAAGGGGGAAAGGGAAAGGCAAAAAUGGCAUUCAGAGGGAAGGAGAUAAUGAAGAAGCUGUUGAAGAAGGUGAGAGAGAAAAACCUGGCACAUGGAGUUAAGGAACAACUUCAAAAAUCCAUCCCAGACAGCAAGGUCGUCAUAAACCUAGCCAAACACGGCCUUUACACUGGCCAUCACAUCUAGUUCGGUAAUCGUACCAGCGAAAACGGUGGAAACAAAUAUCCUCACUUUAUCUUCGCUACUUCUUUAAACUUCUUUUGUUUGAUUUAUUUGUUUAUUUUUGGUGAUUUGGAUCUUUGUUCUAGAACCCUAAAAUUAAUUCAAAUGUGAACAUGCUCUCUAUAGGUAUUUUGAUUUUCUGCUAUUAUUGGUUUUCUCUACUUUUAAAAGGUUUCGAUGAAAAUUCGUCCUCAUUGAGAUCACUAAUAAUAUGUUAUAUCGAGAUGUGAUAUAUCUUCGUAAGCAUGUAAUUUGUUCUAGUUCUUGGUUGCGAAAUUGGUUUUGUGCACUUCUAACUCUGAUAUCUAUGUCUGAAUUGGUGCAAAAGAGUAAGCAAAAUGGUUGCUCUGUGUUUUCAUGUUUGCUUGCACUUAAGAAUUUAUUCUAAGACAAUAUCGGCCAUGAUCAAAGAAGAGCAGAGAAGAUUAUUCGAAUAGCUAAUUCUUAGUAGUUGGAUUGAGGCUUUAAUUCAAUAAAUGAGCUUUUUCUCUACUGCAAUAAUAGUAAAUGAGAUUUUUUUGCUAUCUUGAAGUUGUGGCCGUUGUAUUCAUUGUGAAAUUUUAACAUCACAGAUCGAGAAGGAGUUGGAAGCCUAAUGUACAGGAAAAGCAUCUAUUUAGUUAUAUCUUAGAUCGCCCCAUUCGAGUAAAAGUAACCAGUCAUGCCCUCCGUCCACAUUUUUGUUUUGGCUACUCUGUAAGGGGAUAUUUGUUUUGGAUGAAUAAUUUGGUAGCAAAGCUUUAUAUAUUGUGGUACUUUUGGAAUUAAUGUUAUGAUAGACGCAUGUUGUCGACUACAUAGUUAAGGUAAAAAGGUGAUAUUAGUUGACUAAUGUAUGAUUGAACUUGGCUCUCUGUUGUAACUGAUCCUUAAAAAUGUGGCAUUCUUUUUAGCUGAUCAACACUAGGAAUCCAGAUGAACAUUUGCUGCUCUAUACAAGGAAGUCCACCUUAACAUCAGAUUAAUUUUCCUUCGCUUGGUAACAAUUGUAUUGGUGUAUAUGAUACAAAAUUUUUAUAUUUUAAACUGUUUUGAUGUUUAUUUUUAUUUUUAUUCUUAUAAUUACAUUUAUAAUUACAUUUAUAAAUAAAAUUUUGUUAUAAAAUAAAAUACAGAGAAUAAAUAACAAAAAGAAUGGAGAGAGCAAAGAGAGAGCGUAAAUCUAAUAACUAUUAGAAUUUAAAGUACAUUAAAACUUAUCUUGAUCUUAAUGGACACCCACUUAAAAACCUUACCAGGAAAACUCAAUGGGACAAAACUUCGGUUAAGGGAAAAAGAGUACAGUGUGUAUUUACUCCCCCUCAUGAAUAGGAAAACUCAAUGGGACAAAAUCUCGGUUAAGGGAAAAAGAGUACAGUGUGUAUUUACUCCCCCUCAUGAAAACAUCACAUAAUAUCUCAUAUUCUAUGUAUUCAAUCUUGAGUACUAGCUUUUCAAUUGACCAUUUGAAUGUAUUUGCUAAGCAUUUAUAUCAACAUUCUUUUGAAAGUCAUAAGUGAGGGAAAAUUUUGGGGGAAAUAUAUUUUGAUAUCAUCAGGAUUUUUAACAAUACAAAUAGGUAUUUUGGAUCAUUUUAUAAUCUUCUUUCAACUACUAUUGACUAAGUCAAAUUUACUACACAUGUUCAAUUAUUUCAAUUCAUAUAAAUGAACAAUUUCUUGAUAAUUUCAAAUAUGCUUCUGGCAUUCUAAAUCCUUCAAGGAUUUUAAAAUAAAUUUUAUUUUAUAGUGAUUCAUAAAAGGUUGUAACAACAACCAUUAGACGCAAGUUAAAUCUUUUAUGAACUGUUAGUUUAAUAAUAUAUCUAAAGGUUAUUGCAUCCACCACAAAAGAAUAUUAUAUCUUUUCAUAAUCAAUGAUAGGACUUAGCAGAAACUUCAUAUUUUAUUACGUUUUGCAAAACUAUUUCAUUUGCACUCUCACUGGCUUUAUACCUUUAGAUAUUUGGACUACUAGUUCAAAAACUCCACAAAUUUAAUUGUACUUGAGUUGCGUCUUUCUAUUUUGACCAAUUUAUUCCAUAUAUAUAAUCCUCAAUAGAUUUAUUUAAUAUCCUCCUUUUAUUUUAUUAUUUCAACAAUAAUAUUGCAUGCAAAACUAUUGUCGACCACUUUUAUUAUUGGUUCGACAUUUUCUAAAAUUGAUAUAACUUAUUGAGAUCUCUUAUUUUCACUAUUUUAAUCUUCAGUUUUAGGUACUUGAAUCUCUUCUGGAGUUUUACUUAUUAGUUAUGUCUUGGGUAUCUUCUGAAGCACCUGCCUUCACUAUAUGACCAUCUAGAUUUAUUAUUUUAUUUUAUAAGAAUUUUCAUAUUUGGAACUUGUAAUAAGUUAUCCUUGUUGAACUUCUGGUUCAAAUUACUCUCCCUCUAACUCAUUACAAGUUAUUAUUUCUCUCCCCCUAAUGUCGGGAAAACUAUCAAAUUAAAAUAGUAAUCACAAAUCAUGUCAUAAUUGAAUCUCUAACAUUUAAAACAUAUAAUAAUACAAAGAGACUCGUAAUUAAUAUAUAUUCCCAAAUUUCUUUAGGUAUUCACUCAUCUUUGUUGUGGUGGAGCAAUUGGAACAUAUACACACAUACAAUAAUUCAAAGAUGAGAAAUAUUUAGCUCUUAGCCAAAAAUCAAUUGUAAUGGGGAGUAUUUAUAACUUAUUGGUUUGAUGCGUACAACACGUAAAUCAACAUAAUCUCAUGUUGAAAUAGAAAGUUUAGUUGUAAUGUCCUGAAUAAUUUAUUUCUAUUUUUGUAAAUAUCUAACACAAAUGUGUAUUUGUGUUAGUGGUUAAGUGUUCUGGGGUGUGUGUGAGGUAUUGGAUUCAAGUCCCAGAUUUGUUAAUUUUGUUAUUUUUUAUCCAAGUCUUACCCUUGUUGAGUGGGCUUUUAUAAAAUUUUCUGUUAAUCUAUAUCAGAAUGAGUCUGCUGGUUCGAGUGGUAAAGGGGUGUGUUGUAUUGGAGGUCUUGUGUUUGAAUCCCUACGUAAAAAACAGUCGUGUGGUGGUGUGGGAGUGGCCGUGUGGGACACACGGGCAUGUGGGUUUUAGGCCAGGCCGUGUGGCCCACACGGGCAAGGCCAAUUUGGGCGUAUGGGCCCACACGGGCAUGUGGGCCCAUAUUUUUAAAAUUUUCCCUAGGUUCGCACAGGUCGUUUCGAUCGACUGUGGGCCUACCGUAAGGUCGGUAAGGGCUAACCAAACUUUAAACCUAUGUGAUCUGUUUGUCUGAUAUUCUGUUCUGAAUAUGAUACUGUUAUGAAUGUCUGAUUAGUCUGAUGUAUUUAUAUAUCUGAUAUCUGUAUAUGAGCAUGUGAGCAUGAUAACUCUGAUUAUAUAUAUCUGAUUGGGAUGGGAUUGGUAUAUGUGGAGGAAAUGUUCUGUAUAGCGAUCAUUGCCUAUAUUCUAGCAGCUUGGCUGCACUUUAUCUGACAUGUGCCGUAAUGGCUUGAUAUGAUGUGUAAGGAUGGUGGGUGUUUUUAACCCAACAUGGUGUGAUGGGAUGGUCAGAGUUGGUGUGUAGAGGAUGGGGUAGAUUCUGUAUUUCUGAUCUACUUUGUUAUUUGAAUCUGUAAAGGGCUUAUGUCCGAAUCUAAAUCUGUAUCUAACUGUGUAUGAGUUUACUGUAUGUAUUACAUGUCUAUUUCUGUUGAGUUACACACUGAGUUUACGAAAACUCACAUCUAUUUGUCUGUUCUGUUAAGGUAAUCCGCAGACUUAGACGAGUUGGUGUGACGGAGGCUCAGCGGUGACUACUCGAUCAAGAACUGUUUUACUUAGUAAAUUAUGUUUUUUUAUUUAUAAUUCUGGUUUUAUUUGAGAGUUUGUAAUUUUUGGGACUAUCUGGACCGUUG
rnacentral:lncRNA from 1 species